CAUUCAAAAGUGGAAUACAAUUUUAUGCUUAAUAACGAACAAUUUAAACUAUGCAAGUGAAUGAACAAUCAAGCCUUAAAAGUGAACAAAACAAUGCGAAUUUUCAACAUUCAAUUGAAAGCAGAUUAACAUAUCGCCAAGUUUCAGCUAAUGAAAAAAAGGAUUUUCAUACGGCAAAUUAAUCGAAAAAGCGAAAAGCAAACUGCAAAGAAAACAAUUGAAAUAUCAAAAUGAAAUGGUUAAAAUGGAUAAAAAUGAUUUUUAUGCGGCAAAUUAAUUGAAGAAGCUGUAAACUGAAAAAAUACGAUUCAAAUAUGAUAUAAGAAGGAAAUGUGUCAGACUAUUUUCUCUGGAGAUA